AAGGAAAACAUAGAAUACUAACAACUGACAAAUUAAAUAAUUCCAUAAGUUAUAACAGAAACCUUAGAAGAUGACUUUAACAUAUUGAGAAAAUAAUAAAAAUACCGAGCAAGCGUACUGGUCACUUUAAAGAGAGAAUUCAGCCUGUAGUUUUCGAAGUUCUUCUUCUUCAUCCAAUUCUUGAGGCUUUGAAAUAGAAGGGAGGUCUUUGACUUGAGACGGGACAGCAGGAACAGCAGGAGUGUGUACAGGAGGUUUCUCAGCUCCCAACAUCUUGCUAUCAAGUUCCAUUUGCUGGAGUUCAUCUAACUCGUUGGCCAAUUCAUCUUCAUCAAUCUCAGCAUUCAAACCGACAGGAGUGCUAAUCAUAGUAGAAAUUUCCUCAGAGAUUGUCUGUUGGUCACGAAUCUUAUCCAUGAUCUGAUCCA